GAUGAAGAACGUAGCGAAAUGCGAUAAGUAAUGUGAAUUGCAGAAUUCAGUGAAUCAUCGAAUCUUUGAACGCACAUUGCGCCCGCCAGUAUUCUGGCGGGCAUGCCUGUUCGAGCGUCAUUACAACCCUCAGGCCCCCGGGCCUGGCGUUGGGGAUCGGCAGAAGCCCCCUGUGGGCACACGCCGUCCCUCAAAUACAGUGGCGGUCCCGCCGCAGCUUCCAUUGCGUAGUAGCUAACACCUCGCAACUGGAGAGCGGCGCGGCCAUGCCGUAAAACACCCAACUUCUGAAUGUUGACCUCGAAUCAGGUAGGAAUACCCGCUGAACUUAAGCAUAUCAAUAAGGGAGGA
rnacentral:misc_RNA from 1 species